rnacentral:rRNA from 1 species
GUUAGGAAUAUUGGACAAUGGGCGCAAGCCUGAUCCAGCCAUGCCGCGUGAGUGAUGAAGGCCUUCGGGUUGUAAAGCUCUUUAGCCGAUGAUUAUAAUGACUGUAGUCGGAAAAUAAGCCCCGGCUAACUUCGUGCCAGCAGCCGCGGUAAUACGAAGGGGGCGAGCGUUAUUCGGAAUCACUGGGCGUAAAGCGUGCGUAGGCGGCUUUGCAAGUUGGGAGUGAAAGCCCAGGGCUCAACCCUGGAAUUGCUCUCAAAAGUGCAAGGCUGGAAUUCUGGAGAGGAUAGCGGAAUUGUCAGUGUAGCAGUGAAAUGCGUAGAUAUUGACAGGAACACCAGUGGCGUAAGCGGCUAUCUGGACCGAUAUUGACGCUGAGGCACGAAAGCGUGGGGAUCAAACAGGAUUAGAAACCCGUGUAGUCC